AUAUACAAGCGGCGACGCUGAAAUGAGAUAAGGAUGAAGGGGACAGAGGAGUUCGAAGUUUCGUUCACCAGCCACUGGGCGCGCAUUGUUUUCAACGUCCCGAUUAAUUACAUUGCGGUUGCCUAUCUAAUAUCUAUUGAAUUGGAAUACUUCAAAUUUCAAUACUUGUCUAUGCUUCACACACCACACACGUUAAUAUAUUGUGUUCUCUUUACCGUUGUUGUGAGUUCUGCUUUUACACUUUAACUCGUAGUUGUCACUUGCCAUAGUUUUAAUUAAUAAUUUUUCAAUAAAAAUGUACUACUUUUUAACUACUAGACGUAAAAUAGUCAAAUGUUCUAUAAAAAACAGUAUAAGUUUGGAAGUAGAUCCGUCAUUAAUAAGUCACUUUUCUUUUCUUAAGGAGGAUCCUUCUAGUUGUAUAGAUGUGAAGUUUGGAUUGACAACUAUGGAUUGUCACAUCUCAAAGAAAUUGAUGCAUCAAUUUUGAAAAAAAAUUAUUGGUUGUGUUCAAUGUGUUUUGAAAAUUGUAUGUUUCGAAAUAAACAACAGAAUCAUCUUAAACCUGAUGCUAUACCGACAUUAUUUUAAAGUACACUAAAGAAACAGGCUGUUGAAAAUGUUGCCAAUGAUGACUAUGAGACAGUGGAAGAUUGCUUGCAGUCAUGUUCAACACCCGAUAGAUCUUCUGCCUUUUUGACAAUGUCCAUGUCUGAUGUAUCGACUUCAACUCCAGCAUCUCUAACAGAUCGAGCUCCAAUGAAAGUUAAACUCAGGAAAUAACUCUUUGCAGAAACUAAAAGGAAAAAAGAAUUAAAGUCUGUAAUGACUUCUAAUUUACAGCUAGCCGAAGAUUAUUCUAUCAUAACUUGUCUAAAGGUCUGUGAGAAAUUCUGCUCACUGACUGUACGUCUUUCAGUAAAAUCACAAAUUAACAACUAAAAGAAAAUGUCAAAAUAUUGUUAUCAAAAAUCAUAAAGUAUACAGCCAUAAAGAUAAAGUGUUCACCUAAGAAAAAGAUUAAAUUGUGUCUAUUAAAGAUAAACUUCAGCCUGUGUAAAAACUAAAAACUGGCCGGUCGCUGGUAGACCUCAUCCUACAGCAGCUGGUAGAAUGCAUAUUUUAUGACAGCCGAUUGUUCUCUUUGUCAUUGAAAUAUGAAUGAAAAUCUUAUAAUAAUUAGUCUUAUAUAGAUAAUAUUUAUUAUUAGUGCUGUAGUUACUGUAGUAUGAUGCAUGGUACCCUCUGUCCCCUUAAAGAUAAACAUUUUAUUAUUAAAUUGUGAUAUUUAAAGCUAAAAAAAUAUAUAUAUAAUAUUGAUAACA